rnacentral:rRNA from 1 species
AGAGUUUGAUCCUGGCUCAGAUUGAACGCUGGCGGCAUGCCUUACACAUGCAAGUCGAACGGUAACAGGUCUUCGGACGCUGACGAGUGGCGAACGGGUGAGUAAUACAUCGGAACGUGCCCGAUCGUGGGGGAUAACGGAGCGAAAGCUUUGCUAAUACCGCAUACGAUCUACGGAUGAAAGCAGGGGACCGCAAGGCCUUGCGCGGACGGAGCGGCCGAUGGCAGAUUAGGUAGUUGGUGGGAUAAAAGCUUACCAAGCCGACGAUCUGUAGCUGGUCUGAGAGGAUGAUCAGCCACACUGGGACUGAGACACGGCCCAGACUCCUACGGGAGGCAGCAGUGGGGAAUUUUGGACAAUGGGCGCAAGCCUGAUCCAGCCAUGCCGCGUGCAGGAUGAAGGCCUUCGGGUUGUAAACUGCUUUUGUACGGAACGAAAAGCUUUCCUCUAAUAAAGGGGAGUCAUGACGGUACCGUAAGAAUAAGCACCGGCUAACUACGUGCCAGCAGCCGCGGUAAUACGUAGGGUGCAAGCGUUAAUCGGAAUUACUGGGCGUAAAGCGUGCGCAGGCGGUUUUGUAAGACAGAGGUGAAAUCCCCGGGCUCAACCUGGGAACUGCCUUUGUGACUGCAAGGCUGGAGUGCGGCAGAGGGGGAUGGAAUUCCGCGUGUAGCAGUGAAAUGCGUAGAUAUGCGGAGGAACACCGAUGGCGAAGGCAAUCCCCUGGGCCUGCACUGACGCUCAUGCACGAAAGCGUGGGGAGCAACAGGAUUAAAUACCCUGGUAGUCCACCGCCCUAAACGAUGUCCACUGGUUGUGGGGAAUUUCCCUUUUUCAGUAACAAAACCUAACGCCGUGAAGUUUGACCGCCCGGGGGAGUACCGGCCGGCAAGGUUGAAACCUCAAAGGAAUUGGACGGGGACCCCCCA